AACGAGACCUUAACCUGCUAAAUAGUCAGUCCGGCUUUUGCUGGUCGCCGACUUUCUUAGAGGGACUGUCAGUGUCUAACUGACGGAAGUUUGAGGCAAUAACAGGUCUGUGAUGCCCUUAGAUGUUUUGGGCCGCACGCGCGCUACACUGACAGAGCCAGCGAGUUUUUUUCCUUGGCCGGAAGGUCUGGGUAAUCUUGUGAAACUCUGUCGUGCUGGGGAUAGAGCAUUGCAAUUAUUGCUCUUCAACGAGGAAUACCUAGUAAGCGCGAAGUCAUCAGCUUGCGGUUGAUUA
rnacentral:rRNA from 1 species